GACAGAGGGUGCAACCGUUGUUCGGAAUUACUGGGCGUAAAGCGCGUGUAGGCGGCUCGGCAAGUCGGGUGUGAAAGCCCUGGGCUUAACCUAGGAAGUGCACUCGAAACUGCCAAGCUUGAGUUCUGGAGAGGAAGGCGGAAUUCUCGGUGUAGAGGUGAAAUUCGUAGAUGUCGAGAGGAACACCGGUGGCGAAGGCGGCCUUCUGGACAGCAACUGACGCUGAGACGCGAAAGCGUGGGGAGCAAACAGG
rnacentral:rRNA from 1 species